rnacentral:rRNA from 1 species
UACGUAGGGUGCGAGCGUUGUCCGGAAUUACUGGGCGUAAAGAGCUCGUAGGUGGUUUGUCACGUUGUCCGUGAAAACUCACAGCUUAACUGUGGGCGUGCGGGCGAUACGGGCAGACUAGAGUACUGCAGGGGAGACUGGAAUUCCUGGUGUAGCGGUGGAAUGCGCAGAUAUCAGGAGGAACACCGGUGGCGAAGGCGGGUCUCUGGGCAGUAACUGACGCUGAGGAGCGAAAGCGUGGGGAGCGAACAGG